rnacentral:snRNA from 1 species
AACCUUUGGGGACAUCCGAUAAAAUUGGGACGAUACAGAGAAGAUUAGCAUGGCUUCUGCGCAAGGAUGACACGUAUAAGUCAGAGA